rnacentral:rRNA from 1 species
UACGUAGGGGGCAAGCGUUGUCCGGAAUUAUUGGGCGUAAGCGCACGUAGGCGGCUUAGCAAGUUGAAUGUGAAAUCCCUCGGCUUAACCAAGGAAGUGCAUCCAAAACUGCUGAGCUUGAGUACUUAAGAGGAUCGCGGAAUUCCCGGUGUAGAGGUGAAAUUCGUAGAUAUCGGGAGGAACACCAGUGGCGAAGGCGGCGAUCUGGGAAGAUACUGACGCUGAGGUGCGAAAGCGUGGGGAGCAAACAGG